UGCAUCGGCCGGGAAUGGAACCCGGGCCGGCCGCGUGGCAGGGGAGCAUUCUCGCCGUUGAACUACCGAUGC